UUUUAGUUUUGAGAGGAGAAACAGGAAGAAUUGUGAAAGAAAAAGAACCCCACAAUAAUUUGGAUACAUUCUUUUCAGAACCUAAGAGUUCAAUGAAUCAAUGAGUCAUGAGUCUCCAGAUAAGUACUCCCAGCUGGAGAGACCGUAUGGAACUAUGAGAUAGAGAGACGACAUGAGCAAGAAGGGAAGAGAUACUUAACAAUCCCAUAAUCUAUGCUUAGCCCAGCCUUCAAGUCAUCCUUCUAUACUAGAAGUUUUUUAGACUGCUUACUUAACAAAUGGGUGGACUGAAAAACAAGAACAUACUCAGACUUUUGAAUGAAAUGUAUGCCAAGAUUGUUCAUGUCAAUCACCAUGGAUAUAAAGACUAAUUUGAAGUUAAUCAAGGAGUCUCUUUUAUCACUGAGACCUACGAUUGCCCAAUUGC